UUUUAGUAUUUAAAAUAUUUUUGAUUAGUAAAUUAUUAGUAAUAAUAGAAAAAGAUUUUAUUUACAUUUAUAGAUCCAUCUUCAUGUGCAUUCAUUGAUUAAACAUAUCUUAAUUAUGAUUUGAUAAUUUAUUUUUAGGCGAGGCGCGCAAGACUUAAUCUUUAAUUACUUCACACGUGUCAAAGAGAAGUAAAGGUGGGAUUAUAACGUUGCAUUUAACAUUUAUCCUUAUUAUACGUUUUACUCAAUUUAUAUGUGUGAGAAGCAGGCAGAGCCUUCGGGCUAUGAGACAGAAAGUUAUAACCUACGGGUUAUAUGAGACAGAAAGUUAUAGCCUAUGGGCUAUAUGAGACAGAAAGUUAUAGCCUACGGGUUAUAUGAUAAAGAAAGUUAUAGCCUACGGGCUAUAUGAGACAGAAAGUUAUAUAGACUUCGGGCUAAGAGACAGAAAGUUAUUGCUUUCGGGCAAUAUGAAAGAGCAGACAGUUUUUAUUGCACUUAUAUUUUUUUGUGAUUCUUAUAAUAUGGAUAAAUGCACCCCUACUGAAUUUAUUGUACUCACCCAAAACAAUAUCUUUUUCAGGAGAUGACUCGGGCGAUGAGAGGCAGGGCGAGUGAUGGUCAAGAUAAAAGAAGAAAUAAUAUUUUAUUUUCAAUUAGAAUAAAGA
rnacentral:lncRNA from 1 species